UUCUUGGUCAUUUAGAGGAAGUAAAAGUCGUAACAAGGUUUCCGUAGGUGAACCUGCGGAAGGAUCAUUACCGAGAGGAGGACCUUGCGUCCCCGGGGGGCUUCGGCCCCCACUCUUCACCCUGUGCGUACCCACCGUUGUUGCUUCGGCGCGCGGUCCGCGCCCGCGGCCCCGCCGGAGGCUUUCAAAACCCCGUCGUCAGUGUCGUCUGAGGAGAAAUCCAAUAACUAAAACUUUCAACAACGGAUCUCUUGGUUCUGGCAUCGAUGAAGAACGCAGCGAAAUGCGAUAAUUAAUGUGAAUUGCAGAAUUCAGUGAAUCAUCGAAUCUUUGAACGCACAUUGCGCCCCUUGGCAUUCCGAGGGGCAUGCCUGUUCGAGCGUCAUUGCAACCCUCAAGCACCGCUUGGUUCUGGGCUUCGUCCGCAGGGGCGUGCCCGAAAGACAGUGGCGGCCCGGCCGGGGCCCCGAGCGCAGUAGAUUACCGUUCGCUCUGGGCGCCCCCGCGGCGGCCAGCCAGCCAACACCCUCCGAUUUUCAAUGGUUGACCUCGGAUCAGGUAGGGAUACCCGCUGAACUUAAGCAUAUCAAUAAGCGGAGGAAAAGAAACCAACAGGGAUUGCCUCAGUAACGGCGAGUGAAGCGGCAACAGCUCAAAUUUGAAAUCUGGUCCUUUCGGGGCCCGAGUUGUAAUUUGCAGAGGAUGUUUCGGGCGCGGCGCCGGUGUAAGUUCCUUGGAACAGGACGUCGUAGAGGGUGAGAAUCCCGUAUGCGACCGGUGACCAACCCCAUGUGAAACCCCUUCGACGAGUCGAGUUGUUUGGGAAUGCAGCUCAAAAUGGGUGGUAAAUUUCAUCUAAAGCUAAAUACCGGCCAGAGACCGAUAGCGCACAAGUAGAGUGAUCGAAAGAUGAAAAGCACUUUGGAAAGAGAGUCAAACAGUACGUGAAAUUGUUGAAAGGGAAGCGCUUGCAACCAGACCUGCCCGCGGGUGAUCAGCCGUCCUUCUGGGCGGUGCACUCGCCCGCGAUCAGGCCAGCAUCGGUUCGGGCGGCCGGAUAAAGGCCCCGGGAAUGUAGCUCCUUCCGGGGAGUCUUAUAGCCCGGGGUGCAAUGCGGCCCGCCCGGACUGAGGA
rnacentral:rRNA from 1 species